AUUGUGUCUCAAUCCUAAAAUGUCUUGGUGAUGCUAAACUCCUGGCCAUCUCUGUAGAUGUGUCGAAUGGGAGAAUGCAUGAAACAGUGACGUGUGAAACGGCGGACACUGUCGCUUUAACAAACAGACAGCUAGAUCCAGCAUUUCCAAUGUGUGGGUUUGCAGUGAUUAUCUUUUCAUUCGCAACCUUGAGCUGCCCUUGCCUGUUCCUAUUCAUUUCUGUUCUCCUUUAUUGUAUUUUUUUUUUACCGGCUCCCAGAGUUUUCACUUUGCUGUAUCUAUUAUAUGUAUUCGAUCCAUUCUGUGUUUCUCUCGCUCGCUCGCCGCUGUACUAAUAAUCGCUUCUUUUUCUCUCUCUCUCUCUGUCUUUGGCAGCUCCAGUCUAGUGGCAAUGCGAACAGGAAUGAAACUCCUGUGGAUGGAAAUAAAGAAAAGGCGGAAAACUCUUCCGGUAAGCCGACAGAGGAGGAAGAGGAGGUGGAUAUCGAUCUGAAAGCGCCGGAGACAGAGAAAGCGGCCCUCGCCAUCCAGAACCAGUUCCGACGAUUCCAGAAAAAGAAGAAAUGAGGAAUGGAAGAGAAAAACACCCCAAUUACAAUGAAGCAUGACCCCCUCUCUCCCUCUCUCCCUCCCCCCGGCAACUCUCAUCCCCUCUCUGUCUGAUUGAAUCCCCCUGAAGAGAAUCUGUGAACUCACUGUUAUCAAGCGAUAUUAUUAUUAUUAUUAUUAUUAUUAUUAUUAUUAUUAUUAUUAUUAUUAUUAUUAUUAAUCUGGCAGACGCCUUUAUCCCAGGCGACUCAUACAUGUGUUAUAGGACAGUACAGGGUUACAAUACUUUGUAUUUAAAUACAGUGUAAGUGUACAGUCAGUGCAAAUAAUAAUAAUAAUACUACUAGAAUACACUAUGAACAUGAUGCAACAAGUUAGGAUUACAGCCAGCUAUAUCUAUAACGACAUAGUAAAACAAUACACAGGGCACUUCUGGGAACUGAAAAAGUAUUGCAUAGAUUUCAAGCAACACGGUACACUGUCGUACAAGGGACGAGAGAUAUCUUCAUCUAUUGCUCUUCGGUUAGGUUACGACUCCAUGUACACCAGCACAGCUCGGGCUUUUCAAUUCACACCCCGGUGGAUUCUGGGAAGUGUAGUCCUGCUGUGAAAGGUACACCCGAUUCGAUUCAGAUCAGUCGAUUCAAUGGGACAUUAUCAUCCCAUAGGAAUGGGCCAGUAGGUACCUGCUAGCCUCCCACAACAGGUAGAGUCUGUCCAGAUCAAGCACUUUAAUGGUCGCCGGAUGUAGUAGCCGCUAGAGGGCGCUAAAAAGCGGUGUUGAAAUAAUAGUACAUAUUUAAUAGUAACAGUUAGGGUUAGGGGCUGAGAUUAGGUUUAGGGGUAGACUAUAGUUUUAAGGGUAUGGGGGGUAGAUUUGGGGGUUAGUAGGCUAGUAGGUACCUACUGGUCCAUCCCGAUGGGAUGAUUUUUGCUUGAUAACGUCCCAUUCAAAUGACUGAUCUCAAACAGAUCGGCUGACCUGAGACAGGUCAAACGGACCACAAUGCACUGGGUGGGAGAUGUCUUCAAACUGGAAAGCCUACAAGGAGAUUUGAAAUUAUCAGCCUGUUUUUUUAAAAAAAAAAAUGAUCCCGUUCUACAUUUCGUUUAAGCCAUGUGAUGACAACGGUAUAGCUGUAAUAAAUAACCUGUAUCGUUUAUAUAUAUUUAUUGUUGAUAUUUUUGCUAGUUUAUACCUAAUCGUGGUAUAUUAAUUAUAUAUACAUAUAGUUUCAAUCUCUCGAUUUCAUGCUGAUAUAUUGCUGACGCUAUAAACUGUAGCGUUAAUUACACUGUGGUAGAUGCACACACUUGCGUGUGCAGUGACGUUGACGUUGUUAGAGAUCCCUGUGUUCGAUUAUGAUGUCACUCUAACACGUCAAUGCACUUCGCUCUCCAGCUGUGAUAAAAAAACGCACGAAUGCAAAUCAUGCACUUCUCAGUGGAUCCACGACGUCAUUGACCUCACACUAAUCCCCGCGUCAUCUGUGUGCGCUUCAUGGGUGUUCAUUUGAAAGCGAUCAAACACCCUGUUUUUAUUAAAAAAAAAACUAGAAUCAAACGAGUGAAGUUAUAUAUUGCGAAUUCUCUCAAACGGGUUAAAUGUGGCUUUAUAUAUAUAUAUAUAUAUAUAUAUAUAUAUAUAUAUAUAUAUAUAUAUAUAUAUAUAUAUAUAUAUAUAUAUAUUAUGUGUUUAUUUAGCAGACGCCUUUAUCCAAGGCGACGCACAAAGACUAAGGUGUGUGAACUAUGCAUCAGCUGCAGAGUCACUUACAACUACGUCUCACCCGAAAGACGGAGCACAAGGAGGUGAAGUGACUUGCUCAGGGUCACAGAGUGAGUCAGUGGCUGAGGUGGGAUUUGGACCUCCUGGUUACAAGCCCUUUUCUUUAACCACUGGACCACACAGCCUAUAAUUUCUGUAACAGUAACAUGAUUUUGUGCAGGGAACGCUUUGAAAUUAGGACCCCCAAUGCCUCACGUAAUACCAUACGGUUAAAGAAACGUUCUUGUUUUGCAGUCGCCCGUGUGUUUUAACACUGUGAUUACUGCUGUGGUUCGACAACAAAGGCGGGCACGCCUUCUUUGACAAGGGAGAACGGAACGAGGUCGCGCUGAAGCUGUCAGGGGGUGGUUCAGAUGUUACAAACAGCAAUGUUUGUAAUCUUCUGAAACGCCCAAGCUUUCAAUUACUCGCAUCUGUUUUCUUUAUUCCAUAAAUGACGUGCAAUGGCUGUGUUUUUGUUUAUUUUUUAUUUUAAUUGUGUUUAUUAUUCCAAAGGACAGUAAUGCUACAAACAGUAACCUCUGCAUACGUGUUUAAUGAACAUUCCCAGGACCUGAGAAGUCAGGAGUUCAGUAUAUGAUAGAAUACGUCACUGUUUGUUUGACUGUGAAAAUUCAACCCCCCCUCCUCCUCCUCCUCCUCCUCCUCCCCCCAUUGAAUCUGUACUUGUAUUGAAUUGUAAUACUCGAUAAUGAAGCUACAAUAAAAGCGACCAGUCCAUAUUCUGGAACCUGCUCUGAGAAUUCA